GCAAAAUCUCACAGCAAACGAAUAGUGGCGACACAAACGAAUCAUCUAAACAUACUUCCCACGAUCAAAAAUCAGUUUCGUCCAGCAGGUUAUCCAGUUUAAUUGAAUUAUCGAAAAACACCAAAAAGUCUGACCCUUUUACAAGUACCUCUAAGCAGUCAACAGCAAUCUCAUUAAAGAUUUAAUGGACAAAGUUUAUUCACUUGGCGGACACGUUAUGAAAAGGUUUGAUGAGAUUUGCAAAGAUGAACACGUGAGAAUCAUAGGGCUUCCUCUUACAUGAGGCCAGGCGAGUAGAACAAAUGAAGCGAUAGAAAGAGCAUCAAUUUGUAUAAUUAGCAGCUCCCGAGCCAUACAGUACCAGUGGGUAACAUGUGUUACAGGUCGUUGUGUACAAAGCUACUACACUCGCCAUUUGGCAGUUUUGGUGAGACUAGAACGUUCUGAGUGAAGCAGAAUUUGUGCGAGGAGCGGACUCUAUCAGAGUAACUCGUACAUUUGGUAAAAAUUUUGACAACACAAUGAAGGGCAAACUUUAAAGAAGUUGCGGGAAGUUUUGGCGCAAAAGAGCAACCGCCGGCUUGUAGCAAAUGAAAGAACGGAGUUAGUUGAACGUCUUGUGGCGUGACCUCUCAUCUCACCUUGAGGCAAAAAGAAAUAUGCUGAAUGCGAGAAGAUGUCGGUCUCGUGGGAUCAAAGAUCACCAUGUAGUGGGAAGGAAUGGAUGAAGAAAUUCACGAGAAUCAUAAAGAGGAAAACUUACUCGGAUCUGUGCAUAUAUUUCCACAGUCCUCGUCGCAUAUGCAUUGGUCGUUCGGUUUGGUGCAAUCUUUGAUAUUCUCGCAGGGCGUAUGACUCCCACAAUAUUUAGGGUACAACUUUGCUUCUAGUCUUGGUCUACAUGUUUUUCCUUCACUUGUCUUGAGCCUCUGAUAAUAAAAUCCAGCUAAAAAUCCAAA